UUUGCUUGCCAAAAUAGUCAAACUUCAUUAGUUCUAGCAAUGAUUUUUAGGUUGCCUUCAUAUACAUAUCCCAUUUCAUUUUUUUGGGUAAUCGUUAUGUUUUUCUCCUGAUCACAGGGAGUCGACACUCUUUUCUCUGGUAUAUUUGGAACUUGGAGUGGAUCAUCUGUAUUUGUGUAUGGUUCUAGGAUUCUUGUACUUAAAGAUACUGUUGAGUUUAUAUAUUAACUAGUUUUCCCCAGCUGGCUUAUACCAUCCUUCAAAUUCUUCCAGUGAAAAUGCUGGUUUGUUAGCUUUGACACGUGUUGGCAGCUGAAGAGUUAUUCAGAUUUCAGCUGGAUUCAUGAUCUUCUUUUCUAUACUAGGAAAAUUUGGAGCUGUCUUUGCCUCAAUUCCAGCACCAAUCAUUGCGGCUUUGUAUUGCUUUUUCUUUGCCUAUGUUGGUUCAGCAGGUCUCAGCUUAUUUCAAUUUUGCAAUCUAAAUAGUUUUAGGAUGAAGUUUAUUAUAGGCUUCUCAAUUUUCAUAGGCUUUUCAAUCCCACAAUACUUCAAUGAGUAUAUUGUUGUUAAUGGUUAUGGUCCAAUGCACACUGGAGCAAGAUGGGUACCAAUCCUCUUUUCUCAAAUAUCUCACUUUUGCUUUAGUCCUCUCUGGGAAAGUAUUUAAUUAUCUCACAUUUCCUCCUUCAUAUGCAGUUCAAUGACAUGAUCAACGUACCGUUCUCGUCAGAACCGUUUAUUGCUGGUAUGUUGGCAAUUUUCCUUGACAUCACUCUGCAUAAGAAAGACAGUGCAACAAGGAAAGAUAGAGGCAUGCAUUGGUGGGAUAGGUUCCAGUCGUUUAAGACAGAUACAAGAAGUGAGGAAUUCUACCAUCUGCCUUUCAAUCUCAACAAGUUUUUCCCAUCA